rnacentral:sRNA from 1 species
UUGUUGAAUAUCAGUCAAUUGUGCCAU